GAACAGCCUCCUUCCAAAUGCAGCUUUGACUGUGAUUCAUGGCAAAAAGCUGGAAUAACCCUGCCAAGUCUUAGAAGCUUUAAGAUUCAUCGCAUUGAACUUGAUACAUAUAGCACAGCACCUUGAAAACAAAUCAUCUGCUAGUUCAGUAUUUUCUACUUACAAUCACUCCCUCCCAGGGCAUGUAAUUAAUUUACUGAGCUUACCAAAAAAAAAAA
ensembl:misc_RNA